rnacentral:rRNA from 1 species
UACGUAGGGUGCAAGCGUUAAUCGGAAUUACUGGGCGUAAAGCGUGCGCAGGCGGUGAUGUAAGACAGAUGUGAAAUCCCCGGGCUCAACCUGGGAACUGCAUUUGUGACUGCAUCGCUGGAGUACGGCAGAGGGGGGGAUGGAAUUCCGCGUGUAGCAGUGAAAUGCGUAGAUAUCGGGAAGAACACCCGUGGCGAAGGCGGCUCUCUGGGACGGUACUGACGCUGAGACGCGAAAGCGUGGGGAGCAAACAGG